AUGGCGACGGCCGCGCGGCGCCUCGUCCCCUUCCACCUCCGGCCGCCCGGCGCGCGCCCGCUCGCCGCCGUUGCGGCGGCUCCCCACAGCCGCAAGCGCGAUGCCGUCUCGUGCAAAUCAACCGGCAAGACCAGGGCGAAGAGCAAGGCCAAGGACAGCACCAUGUGGCGGCCGCAGCGGCGGGAGCUGGAGGAGCACCUCAAGCGGCGCACCCGCUCCGCCGGCGCCUUCGACCCCGGCCUAUACCGCCGCCACUCCCACUCCCACCACGUCCCCGUCUUGCUCGGGGAGGUCCUCGCCGCGUUCCGCCGCCCGCUCCCGCUCCGCUCAUUCGUCGACUGCACCCUAGGUGCCGCCGGCCACUCCCUCGCCAUGAUGGAGGCGCACCCGGAGAUGGAGCUGCACGUUGGCAUGGACGUCGACCCCUCUGCGCUGGAGAUUGGCCAGCGCCACAUCGAGGCUUUCCUUGCUAGUAGGGCAACUGAGGAAGGAGGAGAAGAUGCUCUGCAAGGGACACUGCGCGCCUAUACUCACGUCAAGAAUUUCAAGUACAUCAAGCAUGUUCUUGGUGGCGUCGACGAGAACCUGGCGGAUGGCUUGUCUGGCGUUGAUGGCAUCCUCAUCGAUCUUGGCAUGUCAUCCAUGCAGGUUAACAGGUCAGAUAGGGGAUUUAGUGUGCUCAAUGAUGGUCCACUUGACAUGCGCAUGGACCCUAAGGCAACUUUAACAGCAGAAGAUAUCUUGAACUCUUGGCCUGAGCUUGAAGUUGGGCGUAUCCUCCGUGAUUAUGGGGAGGAAAACAAUUGGCAAUCCCUUCAGAGGCGAAUUGUUAAAGAACGGAAAACAGGGGGUUUACACUCUACUAGCGAGCUUGUCAAACUUAUCCAAAGAACGUGCACCAUUUCAGGAGGACGGCAAGGCUGGAUUAAAACUGCAACAAGGGUAUUCCAAGCCCUUAGGAUUGCAGUUAAUGAUGAGCUCCAAACUUUAGAAGACGCACUUCAUUCGUGUUUUGACUGCCUAGCACCAGAUGGCCGUCUUGCUGUAAUCUCAUUCCACAGCUUAGAGGACAGAAUUGUGAAGCAGACAUUCCUGGAGCUUAUUCGUGGGGAUGAAGCAGACGAUGACGACGAAGACUUGGCUUGCGCUGACAUUGAGGACGAAGAUGAACCAUGGUUCAAGCAGAGGGUGCAAGGGACUAACGGCACCGUCCUGACAAAAAGACCAAUAACCCCUUCACAAGACGAAGAGAAACUAAAUCAAAGGUGUAGAAGUGCAAAGCUCAGAGUUAUUCAGAAGGCCUAA
rnacentral:rRNA from 1 species